UUGCUUGUUGAGAGUCACCUCUCUUCCCUUCAGUAGAGUAGCAAUCUUUCUUCCUCAGCAGCUUGGAUCUCUUUGGGCAAGAGCGGUAUUUGGUGGUUGAUCCCGGUAAAUCCUUUAUCUCCUCGGAUAGAUUCCCCAGUAGAGUUGUUGGUAUGGUGGACCUUGUCUGUGAUAACUCUCGUCCCCAGCUGAAAUGAUUGAUGAUUCAUCCCCUGCAGAGUUCUUUGCUUCCUGGUACCUCUG
rnacentral:lncRNA from 1 species